rnacentral:rRNA from 1 species
GGUCGGGAGCUAAGGUCAGGCCGAAAGGCGUAGCCGAUGCACAUACGGUUGAUAUUCCGUAACCAUCUGUAAUUUAAGCAAAGGGACACUUCAAAAGGGUGUGACCCGGGCGUUGGUUGACCCGGGCGUAAGGGACCGAAAUUAGAGUAGGGAAGCACACUUGGCUGAAGGCGAGAAAAGCUUUGCGUAUAGAAACAGAUGCCCGUACCGCAAACCGACACAGGUGGACAGGAAGAGAAUUCUAAGGCCAGCGGGAGAAGGGUAGUUAAGGAACUCGGCAAAUUGACUCCGUAACUUCGGAAUAAGGAGUGCUCGAAAGAGCCGCAGAGAAUAGGCCCAGGCGACUGUUUAGCAAAGACACAGGUCUCUGCCAAAUCGAAAGAUGAAGUAUAGGGGCUGACACCUGCCCGGUGCCGGAAGGUUAAGAGGAGGAGUGAGAGCUCCGAAUUGAAGCCCCGGUAAACGGCGGCCGUAACGAUAACGGUCCUAAGGUAGCGAAAUUCCUUGUCGGGUAAGUUCCGACCCGCACGAAUGGUGUAACGAUCUGGGCACUGUCUCAACUACCCACCCGGCGAAAUUGUAGUACCGGUGAAGAUGCCGGUUACCUGCGGCAAGACGGAAAGACCCCAUGGAGCUUUACUGUAGCCUGAUAUUGGGUUUCGGAAAUCUAUGUACAGGAUAGGCGGGAGACUAGGAAACAUGAGCGUCAGCUUGUGUGGAGUCGAUGUUGGGAUACCGCCCUUAGGUUUCUGGAAUUCUAACCUGCGGCCGUGAAUCCGGUCGGGGGACAUUGUCAGGUGGGCAGUUUGACUGGGGCGGUCGCCUCCGAAAAGGUAACGGAGGCGCUCAAAGGUUAGCUCAGCACGGACGGAAACCGUGCCUCUGAGUGUAAACGCAAAAGCUAGCCUAACUGCGAGGGUGACGGCCCGAGCAGUAACGAAAGUUGGAGUUAGUGAUCCGGCGGUAUGUGAAUGGAAAUGCCGUCGCUCAACGGAUAAAAGCUACCCUGGGGAUAACAGGCUGAUCUCCCCCAAGAGUCCACAUCGACGGGGAGGUUUGGCACCUCGAUGUCGGCUCAUCACAUCCUGGGGCUGUAUUCGGUCCCAAGGGUUCGGCUGUUCGCCGAUUAAAGUGGUACGCGAGCUGGGUUCAGAACGUCGCGAGACAGUUCGGUCCCUAUCUGUCGUGGGCGCAGGAUAUUUGAGGAGCUCUGUCCUUAGUACGAGAGGACCGGGAUGGACGUACCUCUGGUGCACCAGUUGUCAUGCCAAUGGCACGGCUGGGCAGCUAUGUACGGAACGGAUAAACGCUGAAAGCAUCUAAGCGUGAAGCCGACUCCAAGAUUAGAUAUCCCAUCGUAUAACGAGUAAGACCCCUUGAAGACUACGAGGUUGAUAGGCUGCGUGU